AGUAGCGGCGAGCGAACGGGGAACAGCCCAAACCAGAGAGCUUGCUCUCUGGGGUUGUAGGACUGGACAUCUGAGUUACCAAGAAAUAACGUAGUCGAAUGAUAUGGGAAGAUCAGCCAGAGAAGGUAACAGCCCUGUAAACGAAACGUUGUUUCCUCAGUCCAGGAUCCUGAGUACGGCGGAACACGUGAAACUCCGUCGGAAUCCGGGAGGACCAUCUCCCAAGGCUAAAUACUCCCUAGUGACCGAUAGUGAACCAGUACCGUGAGGGAAAGGUGAAAAGCACCCCGGGAGGGGAGUGAAAGAGUACCUGAAACCAUGUGCCUACAAGUAGUCAGAGCCCGUUAACGGGUGAUGGCGUGCCUUUUGUAGAAUGAACCGGCGAGUUAUGCUAACGUGCGAGGUUAAGGCGGAAAGGCCGGAGCCGCAGCGAAAGCGAGUCUGAACAGGGCGAACGAGUACGUUGGUGUAAACCCGAAACCAGGUGACCUACCCAUGUCCAGGUUGAAGGUGCGGUAAAACGCACUGGAGGACCGAACCCGUGUAUGUUGAAAAAUGCUGGGAUGAGGUGUGGGUAGCGGUGAAAUUCCAAUCGAACUUGGAGAUAGCUGGUUCUCUCCGAAAUAGCUUUAGGGCUAGCCUCGGAGUUGAGAAUCGUGGAGGUAGAGCACUGUUUGGACUAGGGGCCCGUCUUGGGUUACUGAAUUCAGAUAAACUCCGAAUGCCACUGAUUUAUAUCCGGGAGUCAGACUGCGAGUGAUAAGAUCCGUAGUCGAAAGGGAAACAGCCCAGACCACCGAUUAAGGUCCCUAAAUAUGUGUUAAGUGGAAAAGGAUGUGGAAUUGCACAGACAACUAGGAUGUUGGCUCAGAAGCAGCCACCAUUUAAAGAGUGCGUAAUAGCUCACUAGUCGAGUGAUCCUGCGCCGAAAAUGUAACGGGGCUAAACACAUUACCGAAAUCGUGGAUGCAGCUUUGCUGCAUGGUAGGAGAGCGUUCUAAGGGCGGUGAAGCCGGACCGUAAGGACCGGUGGAGCGCUUAGAAGUGAGAAUGCCGGUAUGAGUAGCGAAAGACAGGUGAGAAUCCUGUCCACCGAAUGACUAAGGUUUCCUGGGGAAGGCUCGUCCUCCCAGGGUUAGUCGGGACCUAAGCUGAGGCCGAGAGGCGUAGGCGAUGGACAACGGGUUGAUAUUCCCGUACCGGUCUGAUUUGUUUGAGCAAUGGAGGGACGCAGGAGGCUAACGAUGCGCACUAUCGGAUGUGCGUCCAAGCAGCAAGUCUGUCGGCGAGUCAAAUGCUUGCCGGCUCAAGGACAAGCUGUGA
rnacentral:rRNA from 1 species